CCUUGAGCCGCCCUGAACAGUGUGAUUUAUCCUGGGAGCUUUGGGCCAGGAGGUAUCCACUCCACCUCCAGAGGGGUCAGCCAUGUCGGCAGUCAACCGCGGAGCCCAAGUGCAAAGUCCACACACCAAAGCUCAGAGGCCCCUUCCAGCUCCGGAGCUGCUGCCAACCAUCCCCUUGUAGGUGACUGGAGGGACUGAGGACCACGCUGCUGAGCCUCUGCUCUGGCCACCACUGUUUUCACUUUAAAGAAAUUAGUGAACAGAUCUUCAGAAUGGACUCGAUUGCUCCUCUCCUUCUCCACCACAAGCCUGUCAAUGCCAAAAAGGCUUCAGUUGUCCCGGCUGCUCCUGAGCUAUGGAGUUGUCAAAGCAGCCAGCUGUUGGGCGGGGUAUUUGGUACACGUGUGAGUUCACUGGAGUCUGCUGUGUGUGGCAGAGCUUCCACUCUGUUCCCUCAGCUUUUUUCUCAGACUCCCUGGCUCAGAAGAGAGCUCUGGCAUUCCUAUCUGUACGCUAUGAAAACAAGAUUCUGUGUAUGCUAUAUAUAGCUGUGCACAGGUGUUUAGAUAAGAAAUACAUGUGUUGUGAGCAUAAGAUGUGGUCUUAAGACUCAGAUGCAUAAAUCUAUUUAUUUCCAGCCAUGUGCAUCUGUUUACAAAUGACCCGGGGGUCCCUGCCCUCAUCCAGAGAAUUACUCAGGACCAUUCAGAAUGAACCAUACUUGUCAAUGUUCUAAAAGCUGAGGUAUAAAAAAGGAAAAAUAUCAAGUUGCUUCCACAUUGAUCUAAGCAGGAAUUUUUUUGUUUGUUUGUUUAAAUAUACCCAAUGAAAGUUACGUAUGAGACAAUCUCUGUCAUUUUACACUCAAGAAAUUUCAAUGACAGCUCAUUAUGUGUAGUGAAGGCCUUCUACAGUCUAGACCUAGUAUUAUUUGUCUUUGAGGUGGGACCUCCAUGGCUCAUCCCACAGAGAUUAGUUUUGAUUGUAACCUUUGAUCACGUGAAGAAAAAAAUCAGCUUCUUGGACAAAUAUAUAAUUGACACCCACACACCCACACACCCGUUUUGCAGAUGGUCCAAAAUCAGAAGGGAGAGUGUAUUCAUUUAUCAAAUAAUAUUGACACCUAGGUUGAGCUAGGUUUGGUUCCAGCACUGGGGAUAGAGCAGGGAACAAAACAAAGCCUCAUGGAGCUUGCACACUAGAGGGAGAGACAGACUGACAUGUCAGAUGGGGUAAGAAUCGAUAUCAAGUAGCCUGUGAUGGGGGUUAUUGCUGGCGUCAGAAAGGCAGCUUCUCUGAUAAGAUGACCUUUGAGCAGAGACUUUAUGUAAAAUGAAGGUGAGCCACAAUUAAGAUUCAGGAGAAUCGUGUGUUCAGGCAUUGGGAAGAGCAAAUGCAGACUCUGCGUAGGGGUAUGUGUGGAGGGUUUGCACAACAGCAUAAGGGCUGUGCUGUGGCUGUGGUGGAGUGAAUGAAGGUGAGGAUAGUAAGAGGUGAGAUCAAGAAGUGGCUAAGGCCAGAUUGUGUAGAGCAUUCUGGUCAUGGUAAUGCUUUAGGAUUUUACUCUGGGUAACACAGGAAGCCACUGGAAGGUUUUGAGCAGAUGAGAGGUAUGAAUGACUUAUGUACUUCAGGCUUAAAUGAUUACUUUGGCUGCCAUAUGCAGAACAGGCUACUGUGGGCUUUAAGGGUGGAAGCUGGGAGACCAGUUAGGAUAGUAGCCUAACAGUCUGGGUUAGGGACUAGGUGGUUUAGACUAGGGUGUGGGUGGAGGCAAUGGUGAAAAUGGUAAGACAUUGUAGAUAUUGAAGGCGGAGUUGUAAGGAUUUUCUGAUAAAUUGUGUGUGGAAUGUGAGAGACGAGUUCAUGAUUCUAAGGGUUUGGGACUGAGCAGUCAGGAAAAUUGAGCAUAGGGUUACUAUUUAUGGAGAUGAGGAGAAGUUUGGGGACAAGUAGGGGUAGAAAGCCAGAUGUUUUGUUUUGGAUAGAUUGCAUUUUAAGACGCCCAUUCUAUAACCCAUUCUGUGGUUAGAAAUCUUUAGCAGGCAAUGGGAUAUAUGAGUCUGAGAUUCAGGGGAGAAAUUAAGAUGGGGGAAAUAGUGUUGGGGGUUGUUCAGCCUAUAUAGGUGGCUUUAGGGAGCAAGGAUAAAUAGAGAGAGGAAGAAGUCCACAGAUCCAGCAAAGACUGAGAAGAAACAGCCAAUGGGAUAGGAUGGAAACCAAGAGGAUUUUUGUGAGGCCAAGAAAAGAAACCAUCCCCAAGAGGGCAGAGUGAUCAAGUGGGUCAGAUUUCGCUGAAGACAGAGACUUGACCAUUGAAUUUAAUGAUGUAAAGGUCCAUUGUUAUAUAGAAUUUAAACUUAGAAAGUCCUCAACUGGCCCAAAUUGUUCUGACCAAUUUAAUAGGAGCCUACCUGUGGGUUCAAAUGGUCAGGUUUUCAUGUAUAGGAGUUUGAAGAUCUGGCUUCACAGUAGUUCAUAGGAGGGACCCUGUGAUUUAAGAGCCCGAGUGCCAUAUGAGCCACUAUGUGAAGGGGAUGUCAACUAUGCCACACUAACACUGACUUUGCCACAUGACUGGAAGCACAGCAUCUGGACCAGUGUGACUGUAGUCUCUCUAAAAGGUGCAUGGCCAGAACACAGGUGAGUGUGUUCCUUUACUGAGCCCCACAUUUGUAAAAGAGAGGGACAAACCAAAGUACCUUUAGGCCUUUCACUGCUGUGAAAAUUCAUUGAAGAACUAAAAGUGUUCAGGAGGGUAUUUAACCAUUUGAAGGACUCAUCUGUGGAAGAAGGAUCAUUCUUGCUUUAAUAGAUGGAGGGGAGAAGUUAAAGGGGGGAAUAUUUGAGUUAUCUGUUUCUGUAUGACAAACCACUCCCAAAAUAUAUUAGUUUAAUACACUGA